rnacentral:lncRNA from 1 species
CACCACCAUGUAAGAAGUGCCUUUCACCUCCUGCCGUGAUUCUGAGGCCUUCCCAGCCAUGUGGAACUAGACAGUGUCUUGUUCUGUCACCCAGGCUGGAAUGAAAAAGUGCGAUCAUAGCUCGCUACAGCCCAAACUCCUGGGCUCAAGUGAUCCUCCUGCCUCAGCCUCCUGAGUAGCUGGGACCACAGGUUGCUGUUAAGUGCCAUUGAUAUGCUGAAUGAAGAAAAUGACAGAUUGAAGCUAACCAGCCACAAACUCAGGAAAGAUGUGACAGCCAGAAUGCCACUACGACAGGAUUUUUUUUUUUAGAUGGGCUCUCACUAUGUUGUCCAGGCUGGUGUUUAAUUCCUGGGCUCAAGUGAUCCUCCUGCCUCAGCCUCUGAAGCAGCUGGGACUACAGGUAUGAGUCACUGCACCUGGCCCUAUCAAAGCACUGUUAAAGACUGGACUAUGUAAGCAUUUCUCCUUUGCAAGGAGCGUGAUGUUGAGCUUUUUCAGUAGAGGGCACAGGAGGGAUACUGUAGAAGGAAGGGAGCUUCUCUUCCUAGUUCCAGUGUGCUGCAUUUUGCUUUUAUUGCUCCUCUUCCAUUGUCUAACAGCAAUGAGUGUAUGCCGAUGGUGGGGACUAUCUACGAGUGCUCUGUUCAAGCUGUGUGCACCAAGAAUGGGAAUGCAGCCCCUCAGCUGCACACUAUAAAUAAGCUACCAUGAGGCCCCAGUGUGGGCCCAGAGACCACCUUGCUGCUGCCAAUGCAGAUUUAGCACACUCCAGACCGCACAGCCGUAGUGGUGCCCUCACUGUCUCUGCAUGCCUGUCCACUGGCCUCAGCUCACCUCGCAACCCUCCUGAUGUGGACACCACGUGCUCCAAGCAGCCAAGCUCUCCAUGCAGGCCUGUCCAUCAGCCUCAUUCCCCUGGCACCCUGGGGGUUGUUUCCUGCUUGCCUGCUGAUUGCUGACUAGCUCUGGCCUGGGCAUGUGGCAGACCUUUCCGCCAUCCAGUGGACUGCAGCCGCAGCUUCUCCAAUAAGGUCUCAACCAGGGCCUUGGUAGUAUUCUCCCUCCACUCCACAAUACCCUUUAGAGCUUUUUUCACAUCUUUAUAGUUACCAUCCUGUCAUCAUUUAGUAAUUCUUUAUAUUAAGCCACUCUGUUUAAGUUACUGGAUGGUUUCUGUCUACUAAUUGGACACAGACUGAUAAAAAAUCGGUCCUGGCCGGGUGCGGUGGCUCACACCUGUAAUCCCAGCACUUUGGGAGGCCGAGGUGGGUGGAUCACUGGAGGUCAGGAGUUCGACACUAGCCUGACCAACAUGGCGAAACCCCAUCUCUACUAAAAAUAUAAAAAUUAGCAGGGCGUGGUGGCACACACCUGUAAUCCCAGCUACUUGGGAGGCUGAGGCAGGAGAAUCACUGGAACCUGGGAGGCGGAGGUUGCAGUGAGCCCAGAUCGUGCCAUUGCACUCUAGGCUGGGUGACAAAAAGCAAAAACUUCAUAAAAAAAAAAAAAAUUCAGUCCCAGGAGUGGUCCCAGGAAUAGACUGAUAAACGUGAGAUGUGGGCAUUGGUUUGUUUGUGUCCUUGGGCUUGAGCACAGUACUAACCUCCUUGUCCAUGAGAAAUGGGCGUGCAAUGGCGUCACAACUAGUCAAGCCAUCAUCUGUGGUUGAUUUUUAUAGAGUGCCAACGGAAGGAAGCACAUGCCUCAGGAGCCCAUAUGGCUGCUACCCUGCACCAUUAUGACAGUAAUAAUGACUAUAAGCUCUAAGGUGUGGGACAGUUCUUUCCAGCGUACUUGGGAGCUCAUAAGAGAAAAAAUGACAAGCUCCUGUCUGUUACCUUUCAGUUCAAGUCUUGAAGUGAGAACCAGAAAGCUUCCAUGAUGACCCUAAAAAGAACCUUGCCGGGAACGUGACUCAUGCCUAUAAUCCCAGCAACUCGGGAGGCUGAGGCAGGAGCAUUGCUUGAGGCCAGGAGUUUAAGACCAGCUUGGGCAGCAUAGCGAGAUCUUGUCUCUAAAAAAAAUUAUUUUUAGGAAUCUUUCUUGUAGAUCCAGGGCUGAUAUUGCUGAAGACCAAAAAUAAAAUUUAAUUGUGCAGGUUGCUGAAUAAUAAUGACAUUUCAGUUCACAGUCUUGCCAAGUUUUUAAUGUGAAAGUUAGGGCACUGAUAAGGAAAGAAUGGGAUCCUGAACCUUGUAAUCAAGACAUCUCAAAUGAACUGAGACAACUCAAAUGAAUUGAGACAUCCAAAUGAAGCCCAUAGUCUUGAGAUCCAAGAUUAUCAGGGGGUCGUUCUGAGUCCCCUGACCAGCAGAAGUAGGUUGCCCUCUGGUGUCUGAGGACGUUACCUUUGUUCUGCUUGAAAUCCUUGUGACAACCUUGCUUGAGGCAGACGCCUUGAAUAGGGAUGCUCAUUCUCCACUAGACCCACCAUAGCCAUACCCUGUGGCCACCAGACCCACAAAGUCUUAGCAUGCUCCAGAGGGACAGGAGGACUUAAGACCCAGGAGGAGACAGCUUAGGCACGAAAAGGAUUGCAGGGCCUUGCUAACAUAUAUUAGUAGUAAUCUGGUGACUAUACAUAGGAAUGGAUUCUGAGGUUGGUAGAUCAGAGGGCAAAAUAUAACACAAUAUCAGGCCAAAUCCUUUUACGUGAGUGUGCUUACUAGAAUUCUGAAUGUAAAGUAUUAGCUUGUGUAGAUAAAGGUGAAUCUAACUGCUUAUUUUGUUGAUUGACUGAAACUUGAACUCAAAAUUCAAGUUUCAUGAGGUCUAAUUUAAUGAGGUUAAGACGCCAGAGCUUUGCUGGUGUGUCGUGAAAGAAGAAAUCCAAGAGCACCGGGAGAUGGCAAUGUUGGAGUGGAUUGAUCAUGUGUGACUUAUUCCCUAACUAUAUUCUAUGUGAAGACCCAAGAAGAUACUCCCUUUACCAAGGCAUUAAAAAAU